GCCGCCGCGGUAUACGUAGGUGGCAAGCGUUAUCCGGAUUUAUUGGGCGUAAAGGGAACGCAGGCGGUCUUUUAAGUCUGAUGUGAAAGCCUUCGGCUUAACCGGAGUAGUGCAUUGGAAACUGGGAGACUUGAGUGCAGAAGAGGAGAGUGGAACUCCAUGUGUAGCGGUGAAAUGCGUAGAUAUAUGGAAGAACACCAGUGGCGAAAGCGGCUCUCUGGUCUGUAACUGACGCUGAGGUUCGAAAGUGUGGGUAGCAAACAGGAUUAGAUACCCUGGUAGUCCACGCCGUAAACGAUGAAUGCUAAGUGUUGGAGGGUUUCCGCCCUUCAGUGCUGCAGCUAACGCAAUAAGCAUUCCGCCUGGGGAGUACGACCGCAAGGUUGAAACUCAAAGGAAUUGACGGGGGCCCGCACAAGCGGUGAAGCAUGUGGUUUAAUUCGAAGCAACGCGAAGAACCUUACCAGGUCUUGACAUCUUCUGACAAUCCUAGAGAUAGGACUUUCCCUUCGGGGACAGAAUGACAGGUGGUGCAUGGUUGUCGUCAGCUCGUGUCGUGAGAUGUUGGGUUAAGUCCCGCAACGAGCGCAACCCUUAUUGUUAGUUGCCAGCAUUAAGUUGGGCACUCUAGCAAGACUACCGGUGACAAACCGGAGGAAGGUGGGGAUGACGUCAAAUCAUCAUGCCCCUUAUGACCUGGGCUACACACGUGCUACAAUGGACGGUACAACGAGUCGCAAGACCGCGAGGUUUAGCAAAUCUCUUAAAGCCGUUCUCAGUUCGGAUUGUAGGCUGCAACUCGCCUACAUGAAGUCGGAAUCGCUAGUAAUCGCGGAUCAGCAUGCCGCGGUGAUACGUUCCCGG
rnacentral:rRNA from 1 species